rnacentral:sRNA from 1 species
GCUGGGCGUGGUGGCGAGUGCCUGUAAUCCCAGCUACUUGGGAGGCUGAGGCAGGAGAAUCGCUUGAACCCAGGAGGCGGAGGUUGCAGUGAGCCGAGAUUACGCCACUGCACUCCAGCCUGGGCGAUAGAGUGAGACUCAGUCUCAA